rnacentral:rRNA from 1 species
UACGGAGGGUGCGAGCGUUGUCCGGAAUCAUUGGGCGUAAAGGGCGCGUAGGUGGCCCGGUCAGCGUGCGGUGAAAGCUCGGGCUCAACCCCGAGCGGCCGUGCGAACUGCUGGGCUUGAGCACUGUAGAGGCAGGCGGAAUUCCGGGUGUAGCGGUGGAAUGCGUAGAGAUCCGGAAGAACACCAAGGCGAAAGCAGCUCUC